UACCAGCACCCCGAGUGGUCGGGACGAUUAUUGGGCCUAAAGCAUCCGUAGCCGGUUCUGCAAGUCCCCCGUUAAAUCCAGCUGCUCAACAGAUGGGCCGUGGAGGAUACUCCAGAGCUAGGAGGCAGGAGAGGCAAGCGGUACUCAGUGGGUAGGGGUAAAAUCCGUUGAUCCAUUGAAGACCACCAGUGGCGAAGGCGGCUUGCCAGAAUGCGCUCGACGGUGAGGGAUGAAAGCUGGGGGAGCAAACCGG
rnacentral:rRNA from 1 species